rnacentral:ncRNA from 1 species
GAAAGCCGUAUGAGGGAAAACUUCACGUACGGUUUGAUGAGGGGGAGCUGAAAGUAAAACAACGACCCGCUAAGGAGUCGUUGUUAGAAAUCAGUCCUCUACUCUAC